UUCAAAGCUAUACGUGGAUUGAUCGAGCGAGUUGAUGCUGUUUGAAUUUUUCUUUUCGCAGCAGGUUUGCGGAUCAUAUUAAGCUAUUUUGGUGACCUCAAGAGUUGAUUCAGUGGGUGUUCUGACCCAGGCGAGAGGGCAUUUGACCCUUGGAUCGUCUUGGAUUGGUAGUAGAAGGUCUUUUGGAAGCCUAAUUUGAGCAGCUUUGGGGCUUCGUUGAGCCGAUUUUGGGACUUCCUUUGGACUGUUGGGAGCUUAGUAAUAGGUGGGUUUGACCUAACCAGAGCAAGUGAAGCUCUCCUAUGUUCUAUAUGUACUUAUAGAAUUAUCGCAUAGGUGCAUUUAGUGACUAUAAGAUUGAUAGAGAAUUUGGGAAUGUGUCAUCGUAUUGUUUGAUGCUUAAGUAGAAUGAAAUCUCUAUAAAGUAGAGAACACAUAUACACGAAGUAUCUACAUCUAUAUUCAAUUUAGUUGAAUGACUUAUGGACAAGUGUAGAAUACACUUAUAAAGUAGAGAAAAAUGAUAUUCUCGUGACUCUAAAAUAGAGAACCAUAACAUGCUUAUGAUCAUGUUGAUAGUGCCAUAGUAGUGAAAAGAUUCUAAUGCCAUGUAUAAUUUAGCAUUACUCUCACAUGUUUAUUAAUCUAGUAGAUACUAGUUGUUGUCAAUGUUGAUUAUAUUGAAAUUCCGAUCAAAGGAUCGAGAGCGAGAAUGUUGUGAA